GCUUUUGGGAACACUGCACUGUGAGCACUUGUUUGAUCUCAGCAGCUAAGCAGCAUCAGGCCCUGUUAGUAGUUACUUGAACUGGAGACCACCUGGGAAAUGUAGGGGCUGUAGCCA
rnacentral:rRNA from 1 species